AAAGGGAAAAAGAAAAAUCCAAAAGGGUUUCGAACUUUUGAUAUUAAGGUGGAGCAAUGUUGGUUGUUGCAGUAGAGAAAAGGAAAUGAGGGACAGAGACACAAAGCAAGCAAGAAAAGAAAUUAAAACAACCCUAAUUCAUUUCCAAUAGAUAAGAUAGGUAGUAUUUAGUUGCUGGUUGAGUGAGUGGUUAGAGUUAAGGGUGCUGCAUCUAUAGAUAUGUGCAUUUUGCCAAAUGUAGGAGGACAUGAGGUUACAGAUCUGAUCUGACUCCCUCACCAGAAUUCUGAAAACUCUGAUAUAUUCAUCCUAGUUUCAACUUUCAAGUUAGAGUACUGCAGAAUAAACAGUCAAUUAACAUGGAUAUGACCAUGUUUUGAAUCAAAAUUACUAUAUUUUGAGUAAUUAGAAAAGAGGGAUAUAGUAGAGAGAGUAGUUGACAGAAGAGAGUGAGCACACGCUCGUAGUUAUUGUAUGAGGGCAUACAGUUGCGGGUACGUGCUCACUUCUCUUUCUGUCAGCUUCUCAUUUUUCUCUCUCACUGUUUCCUCUCUUUGAUCAUCUCAUGUUUUUAUGUUUUUCUAUUCCUUGUUUUUAAUUUUCUAAGAUAUUUUGGCACACUUGUAAGCUUCGUUUAUAGUGCAUAUAUACUUGUCUCAUUCAUUCUCCGAAUUGUCUCUGAGUCACUGCAGUUAAUGGAUGAUGAUCAUCCUUCAUUUUUAUGUGUGAAGCGUGUCUUUGAGUUGUGUGCUAUGUGUUGUUGUUUCAACUGUGCACAGACCAUUCUAUGGUCUUGAUCCAUUCAUCUGCCAUAUUUUCUUUGGUGUUUCAUCUGCCAUGGUCUGGUCUCAUCCUUAUUUGUUUAUGGUUUAAUUUAUUUUAUUUUAUAAGUUCAACUCCAUAUAUUAACUAUUAUUUAUCUUAUCAAAUAAUAUUAUUAUAUAUAUAUAUCUGUGCUAUAGAUGGAGGUUCAGAGCGUGACUUUUAAUGGUCCUUCCCUUCCCAAAUGGAGUUCAUCAAGGUACGCCUUACGACGGAUUUUGAGACACUGUUCAUCCCUUAACGGAAAAGUGAAGUUCUUCUUGUCUUUCUCUCCUAUGACCUACUUCCUCCGUCCCUAAUUAUAAGCUAACAUAAGUUAAUAUUUCUUUCCAUAUUCACCCUUGCAUUUAUUGGUAGUGGAGCACCACCAUUAGUAGUACAAUGAUGAAAAAGUGUUAUCAUAAAUAGGGGUAAACAUAGAAAGUUGUACAUUUUUUUUGAAAACCAAUGCAUCAAUUAAGGCUUUCUUAAUAAGUGUGAUUUUUACAACUUUAGCUUAUAAUUAGGGACGGAGGGAGUAUCAUUCUUGUACUGGUUCUUGGAGACCAUGCUGGUUUUCUCCCCAUCUGGUCCAGAAUUUGUGUUAUCUCAAUCCUCACCCUUUUUGUUCUUAUUUGCUGAUCUUUUUAGGUUGGCUCUUCAGAGAAGCAAGGAGCAAAGUAAAGUUUAUGGCUUUAUAAUAAUAAUAAUUAAUAUUAUUUUUUGUCUUGAAUUUGAAGGGCCAGAAUCAAAUGAUGCAACUCAACUAUAUCUUAUGGGUAGAUAUGCAUUUGUUUGCUACCAUGAGUAAAAGGAAUUCAAGCAGCGGCCUUGCUUAAACAGGAGUAGCGAUUGUCAAGGAAAGCUCUUGAAAAUCUGUCUCGGAAGGUUAGAAGAACUUGAAGCACUGUAAUCACUCAGAAUCUGAUGGAAAAGUGCAAAACUUUUAAUCAUGCUGCAAGUUGGGAGAAUAUACGAGCACAGAAGAUGAAUAUUCAAAUGCAUGUUAGUAGGAGCUAUGAACAAGGCUUGCUAUAGAGCCACGAGCGAGUAUAGCCGUCUUUAUUACGAGUCAGUCAAGGCAAUGGAGGUGGUUUCCUUAUAUAGAGAUGAUAGCGGUGGAGUGAGAAAUUCCAUGUUAUGGAUUGGACUUAGUCGCUCUCUCCGCUUGCCCUUAGGAUGUUAGGACAGUUAGAGUACUGCUACAUGCAAUUUCUUAGCUUGCAUGACAUGAUAGCCUCGGGUUCUUUUCCGUAUAAUGAAGUGUGGUUGUGGGGCGUUUUCCCUAUUCCUUAUCCAGAAUCCAGACAAAAGUCCAAAUUGCUAACAUGGCAAUGAACCUCUUGUGAAGUUCCCAGGUUUUAAGACCUUGCAGAUGCUAAUAGUACAGUGUGCAGCUAUCAAGUUCGGUGACUGCUAGCAAGAUUUCCAAAAUGAUUAAUAUAAAAGGAGAGAUUAUGUUCAAUAUGGAUGGUGCAUACGUCUUAUCUACACAAGCUUGUAAUGAGUCAUGACUCGUUGCAAAGAUGUUAGAAGUAAUGAUCUUAACUUUUUGUAUAUGAUGCAUCAGAUAAGGAUGCUCUUGGGUACAGACGUUAAUUUGAAUAGUGGAGUGUUGUCCCUAGAAGACAAGCCACUACAUGUUUUACUCACCUUUUUUCUAAAAUUGUAAGAAGUUAAGUGAUUGAAGCAUCCACAUGAUUCCCUUGUGGUGAAUGAAGGAGUAGUAAGUAACUUGGUUGAAAAGGUGCAACCUGAGUUGAAACCUGAACCAGGUCUAGAUUUUAAUGUCA